rnacentral:rRNA from 1 species
AUUGAACGCUGGCGGCAUGCUUUACACAUGCAAGUCGAACGGUAACAGGGUGCUUGCACCGCUGACGAGUGGCGAACGGGUGAGUAAUGCGUCGGAACGCACCGAGUAAUGGGGGAUAACGCAGCGAAAGCUGUGCUAAUACCGCAUACGCUCUGAGGAGGAAAGCGGGGGACCUUCGGGCCUCGCGUUAUUUGAGCGGCCGACGUCUGAUUAGCUAGUAGGUGAGGUAAGAGCUCACCUAGGCGACGACCAGUAGCGGGUCUGAGAGGCUGAUCCGCCACAGUGGGACUGGGACACGGCCCAGAGUCCGACGGGAGGCAGCAGUGGGGAAUUUUGGACAGUGGGCGCAAGCCUGAUCCAGCCAUGCCGCGUGUCUGAAGAAGGCCUUCGGGUUGUAAAGGACUUUUGUCAGGGAGGAAAUCCUUAGCGCUAAUACCGUUGAGGGAUGACAGUACCUGAAGAAUAAGCACCGGCUAACUACGUGCCAGCAGCCGCAGUAA